rnacentral:lncRNA from 1 species
AUGGAUCUGAGAACGCUGUCUGGGCUUGGUGCCAAGGGCUGGUAUUUCACAGCAGCGACCGCCUCACAGACGAGCUGUGGGAAGCAGGAGGGAGACUCUCUCUUAGGGUGCCACUACUAUGGAGACACAGCUGGGCUGAACAAGAUUUGCUUCAAACGACAACAAGAGAGACAGAAAGUAUCUGGUUCAACCGCUGCCCGAGCAGGCAGGCACCAGAAGAGCUAGCAGCCAAUCCGGCCAUGCUCGAAGCCAGCUCUGCAGCUCAGCCAAUCAGUGACAUCAUUGCUUUCUUUAGCUUGCCCAUGGUGAUGUGAAGAUGAGAAGAAAUAGCAAGGCCCAACCAGUUCUUCAUCUGGAGACAGUUCAACGUUCUGCAAACCAGAUCUUCAGGAAUUUUACUGGGAUAAUUAUCCAAAUAAAUUGCAAGCAUUCUAUCCAAAUGGAGCUCUUUCUGAGAUGAAGAGAAUUCUCAAUGUCAAGAUUUGAACAAGAAGAGAAUGGAAUACACAAUAUGGACAUCCAUAAAAAUUCAUCAGAGAGCAUUUUACUACUGAGCUGCAAAGAUGACAAGAGCACCUCAAAGGCAGCAGCCUCAAGGAGCAGCCAUGGCCCCAGACUUGUCGCACGGAUGCAGAAAACUUAAUGGAGGAGGCUGAGGUCAGAAUGGGAAGAGUUUUUAAAAAAUAAAAAGGGGAGCUAA